rnacentral:lncRNA from 1 species
ACAUCUUCAAGGUUUAUGCGAUUUCAAUUUAAAGGUAAGCCGUGUAUUUGGUUAAUUUUAUCUAUCUAUACAAAAUGGAACUGAUUUUGAAAACACAAAUGUCCCGCCCAAUGCCUAUUAAAUGAUCUAGACCGUCAAAAUUUUUAGAUAAAUCUAGCCAUCCAUUAGAUAAGUUAGCAUCACACUUAAAUAGCAUUACAUCCUUAAGCGCUCCGUGUUUCACUUUCUCUCUCCUCGCAAGAACGAGUUCUGUGUUUCGACUGAGCAACUUGGGCCUUCUCCAAAUCUGAAGAUCGAGUUAGAAAUUUUCAGAGUAAUCUACCCAGAAAGAGCCCUAUAAUCGCAAAAGGGAGGAGAGAGAAAGGCGUGCCCUAGAAUUGAAAUUUCAAUUUGGGAUUUCUAUUGUUCAAACAUCUUCAAGGUUUAUGCGAUUUCAAUUUAAAGGUAAGCCAUGUAUUUGGUUAAUUUUAUGGAAAUUGAAAGCUUACAUAAUGUUUGUUAUUCUGAAAUUGAUGUGCUUGGUUGUUGUGAAGGACUUCUAUGAUUUGUUUUGGCUAGAACCAUGCCUAAACCUCUAUAAAUUCUGAAAUUAUAGGCUAUGCCCUUAGGGUGUUUGAAAAUUUGUCCCAAAGAGGUCAUUUUUGAGGAAAAAAACUUUUGUGGACAAAAUGAGCCAUUUUCCCCCCAACUUUCCUUACUUUCUUUUCUCCUCCCAUAAAAAAACUACCAACUUUCCUUGGCUUUCUUUUCUCUUCUCCCC